GACCAAUUUGACCUCAAAUCAGGUAGGACUACCCGCUGAACUUAAGCAUAU
rnacentral:rRNA from 1 species